rnacentral:rRNA from 1 species
AGAGACUGCCGGUGAUAAGCCGCGAGGAAGGUGGGGAGUGACGUCAAGUCCUCAUGGCCCUUACGGGCUGGGCUACACACGUGCUACAAUGGCGGUGACAGAGGGACGCAAAGGCGCAAGCCUUCGCAAAUCUCAAAAAGCCGUCUCAGUUCGGAUUGGGCUCUGCAACUCGAGCCCAUGAAGUUGGAAUCGCUAGUAAUCGCAGAUCAGCAUGCUGCGGUGAAUACGUUCCCGGGCCUUGUACACACCGCCCGUCACACCAUGGGAGUUGGCUUUACCUGAAGGCGGUGCGCUAACCAGCAAUGGAGGCAGCCGACCACGGUAGGGUCAGCGACUGGGGUGAAGUCGUAACAAGGUAGCCGUAA